rnacentral:rRNA from 1 species
GAUGAACGCUGGCGGCGUGCCUAAUACAUGCAAGUCGAGCGAACGGACGAGAAGCUUGCUUCUCUGAUGUUAGCGGCGGACGGGUGAGUAACACGUGGAUAACCUACCUAUAAGACUGGGAUAACUUCGGGAAACCGGAGCUAAUACCGGAUAAUAUUUUGAACCGCAUGGUUCAAUAGUGAAAGACGGCCUUGCUGUCACUUAUAGAUGGAUCCGCGCUGCAUUAGCUAGUUGGUAAGGUAACGGCUUACCAAGGCAACGAUGCAUAGCCGACCUGAGAGGGUGAUCGGCCACACUGGAACUGAGACACGGUCCAGACUCCUACGGGAGGCAGCAGUAGGGAAUCUUCCGCAAUGGGCGAAAGCCUGACGGAGCAACGCCGCGUGAGUGAUGAAGGUCUUCGGAUCGUAAAACUCUGUUAUUAGGGAAGAACAUAUGUGUAAGUAACUGUGCACGUCUUGACGGUACCUAAUCAGAAAGCCACGGCUAACUACGUG